rnacentral:rRNA from 1 species
AGCAGCCGCGGUAAUCCCAGCUCCAAUAGCGUAUAUUAAAGUUGUUGCAGUUAAAAAGCUCGUAGUUGAAUUUCGGGGUUCUACCGUUGGUCAGGCUAUUGUCUGUACUGGUGUGUAGAAUUUCUACCUUCUGGGGAACUAUCAUGUUAUUAAUUUAGCGUGGUAGGAAACCAGGACCUUUACCUUGAAAAAAUUAGAGUGUUCAAAGCAGGCUUAUGUCUGAAUACAUUAGCAUGGAAUAAUAAAAUAGGACGGUGGUCCUGUUUUGUUGGUUUCUGAAUCACCGUAAUGAUUAAUAGGGAUAGUUGGGGGCAUUAGUAUUCAAUUGUCGGAGGUGAAAUUCUUGGAUUUAU